GUGGUUAAUUCGAAGCAACGCGAAGAACUUACCAGUCUUGACAUCCCGAUGCUAUUUCUAGAGAUAGAAAGUUACUUCGGUACAUCGGUGACAGGUGGUGCAUGGUUGUCGUCAGCUCGUGUCGUGAGAUGUUGGGUUAAGUCCCGCAACGAGCGCAACCCCAAUUGUUAGUUGCCAUCAUUCAGUUGGGCACUCUAGCGAGACUGCCGGUAAUAAACCGGAGGAAGGUGGGGAUGACGUCAAAUCAUCAUGCCCCUUAUGACCUGGGCUACACACGUGCUACAAUGGUUGGUACAACGAGUUGCGAGUCGGUGACGGCGAGCUAAUCUCUUAAAGCCAAUCUCAGUUCGGAUUGUAGGCUGCAACUCGCCUACAUGAAGUCGGAAUCGCUAGUAAUCGCGGAUCAGCACGCCGCGGUGAAUACGUUCCCGGGCCUU
rnacentral:rRNA from 1 species